UUAACACAUGCAAGUCGAGGGGCAGCAUGGUCUUAGCUUGCUAAGGCCGAUGGCGACCGGCGCACGGGUGAGUAACGCGUAUCCAACCUGCCUUACACUCUUGGACAGCCUUCUGAAAGGGAGAUUAAUACAAGAUGUUAUCAUGAGUAAGCAUUUUCGCAUGAUUAAAGGUUUACCGGUGUAAGAUGGGGAUGCGUUCCAUUAGAUAGUAGGCGGGGUAACGGCCCACCUAGUCUUCGAUGGAUAGGGGUUCUGAGAGGAAGGUCCCCCACAUUGGAACUGAGACACGGUCCAAACUCCUACGGGAGGCAGCAGUGAGGAAUAUUGGUCAAUGGACGAGAGUCUGAACCAGCCAAGUAGCGUGAAGGAUGAAGGUUCUAUGGAUUGUAAACUUCUUUUAUACGGGAAUAAACGGAUCCACGUGUGGAUUUUUGCAUGUACCGUAUGAAUAAGGAUCGGCUAACUCCGUGCCAGCAGCCGCGGUAAUACGGAGGAUCCGAGCGUUAUCCGGAUUUAUUGGGUUUAAAGGGAGCGUAGAUGGGUUGUUAAGUCAGUUGUGAAAGUUUGCGGCUCAACCGUAAAAUUGCAAUUGAUACUGGCAGUCUUGAGUACAGUUGAGGUAGGCGGAAUUCGUGGUGUAGCGGUGAAAUGCUUAGAUAUCACGAAGAACUCCGAUUGCGAAGGCAGCUUACUAACCUGUAACUGACAUUGAUGCUCGAAAGUGUGGGUAUCAAACAGGAUUAGAUACCCUGGUAGUCCACACGGUAAACGAUGAAUACUCGCUGUAGGCGAUAUACAGUCUGCGGCCAAGCGAAAGCAUUAAGUAUUCCACCUGGGGAGUACGCCGGCAACGGUGAAACUCAAAGGAAUUGACGGGGGCCCGCACAAGCGGAGGAACAUGUGGUUUAAUUCGAUGAUACGCGAGGAACCUUACCCGGGCUUAAAUUGCAACCGAAUAUGGCGGAAACGCUAUAGCUAGCAAUAGCGGUUGUGAAGGUGCUGCAUGGUUGUCGUCAGCUCGUGCCGUGAGGUGUCGGCUUAAGUGCCAUAACGAGCGCAACCCUUGCCGAUAGUUACUAACAGGUCAUGCUGAGGACUCUGUCGGGACUGCCAUCGUAAGAUGUGAGGAAGGUGGGGAUGACGUCAAAUCAGCACGGCCCUUACGUCCGGGGCUACACACGUGUUACAAUGGGGGGUACAGAGGGCUGCUACCACGCAAGUGGAUGCCAAUCCCAAAAACCUCUCUCAGUUCGGAUUGAAGUCUGCAACCCGACUUCAUGAAGCUGGAUUCGCUAGUAAUCGCGCAUCAGCCACGGCGCGGUGAAUACGUUCCCGGGCCUUGUACACACCGCCCGUCAAGCCAUGGGAGCCGGGGGUACCUGAAGUGCGUAACCGCAAGGAGCGCCCUAGGGUAAAACUGGUGACUGGGGCUAAAUC
rnacentral:rRNA from 1 species